CCUACGGGGGACAGCAGUGGGGGAUAUUGCACAAUGGGGGAAACCCUGAUGCAGCGACGCCGCGUGGGUGAAGAAGUAUUUCGGUAUGUAAAGCCCUAUCAGCAGGGAAGAAAGAAGACGGUACCUGACUAAGAAGCCCCGGCUAACUACGUGCCAGCAGCCGCGGUAAUACGUAGGGGGCGAGCGUUAUCCGGAUUCACUGGGUGUAAAGGGAGCGUAGACGGCCGUGCAAGCCAGGAGUGAAAGCCCGGGGCCCAACCCCGGGACUGCUCUUGGAACUGUGCGGCUGGAGUGCGGGAGGGGCAGGCGGAAUGCCUGGUGUAGCGGUGAAAUGCGUAGAUAUCAGGAGGUACACCGGCGGCGAAGGCGGCCUGCUGGACCGCGACUGACGUUGAGGCUCGAAAGCGUGGGGAGCGAACAGGAUUAGAUACCCUUGUAGUC
rnacentral:rRNA from 1 species